UGAAACACAACAAUUUCUCCAAAAACAAUUAUUAUCAUAAGCCCAUCACACACUUCAUCCAACUCAUGUUUUUCAACAAUCAAGCUCAAAAACAAAAGACAAGGAAAAGCUCAAAAACAGAGACAAAAUCUCAUUAUUCGAAAACUAAACUAACUAAAUAAAUAAACAACGGAUAAACGAGAUAAGUAACCCAUCUUCACCCUCCCCCCAAACUUAUUUC
rnacentral:lncRNA from 1 species